rnacentral:piRNA from 1 species
UAGGGGAUAGUCUCAUAGGGAACUUUCUAU